GCCCUCAUAGUUCAGCCAGGAUAGAACGCAGGGUUGCGGACUCUGUAACCGAGGUUCAAAUCCUCGUGGGGGCA
rnacentral:tRNA from 1 species